rnacentral:rRNA from 1 species
AUACGUAGGUGACAAGCGUUAUCCGGAUUUACUGGGCGUAAAGGGCGUGUAGGCGGUCUUGCAAGUCAGAAGUGAAAUUCCUGAGCUCAACCCGGAAACUGCAUUUGAAACUGUCGUUCUUGAGUAUCGGAGAGGCAAGCGGAAUUCCUAGUGUAGCGGUGAAAUGCGUAGAUAUUAGGAGGAACACCAGUGGCGAAGGCGGCUUGCUGGACGACAACUGACGCUGAGGCGCGAAAGCGUGGGGAGCAAACAGGAUUAGAUACCCCGGUAGUCCACGCCGUAAACGAUGAAUACUAGGUGUGGGGGGACUGACCCCCUCCGUGCCGCAGUUAACACAAUAAGUAUUCCACCUGGGGAGUACGGCCGCAAGGUUGAAACUUAAAGGAAUUGACGGGG